ACCCGGCUGGCGCAAUGGUAGCGCGUCAGACUUCUACCCCGGAAAUCUGAAGGUCGUGGGUUCGACCCCCACGUUGGGUU